AUUGAACGCUGGCGGCAGGCCUAGCACAUGCAAGUCGAACGGUAACAGAAAGCAGCUUGCUGCUUUGCUGACGAGUGGCGGACGGGUGAGUAAUGUCUGGGAAACUGCCUGAUGGAGGGGGAUAACUACUGGAAACGGUAGCUAAUACCGCAUAACGUCGCAAGACCAAAGAGGGGGACCUUCGGGCCUCUUGCCAUCGGAUGUGCCCAGAUGGGAUUAGCUAGUAGGUGGGGUAAAGGCUCACCUAGGCGACGAUCCCUAGCUGGUCUGAGAGGAUGACCAGCCACACUGGAACUGAGACACGGUCCAGACUCCUACGGGAGGCAGCAGUGGGGAAUAUUGCACAAUGGGCGCAAGCCUGAUGCAGCCAUGCCGCGUGUAUGAAGAAGGCCUUCGGGUUGUAAAGUACUUUCAGCGGGGAGGAAGGGAGUAAAGUUAAUACCUUUGCUCAUUGACGUUACCCGCAGAAGAAGCACCGGCUAACUCCGUG
rnacentral:rRNA from 1 species